CUGUUUUGACUUUUCAACAGCAACAGGCUUGCGCAAUGGCAAAUUCAUCUUUGAAAAUCAAUACAAAACUCUCAUAUUAUGAGCUUGAUGUUGAUAAUACCUUGAGUAGCAGUUUAUACUCUUGUAAUUCUCCAAAACUCCACAAGUUAUCAAACGUUUUUAUUGUGAAAAAGUGUUUAGCUAACCUAGGUACAAGGAACCAAUUCUUUUACUAUCAAAACAUUUUCUGUCAACAGAAGUUUUGCUGAAACUACGACAAAUAAUUUAAAAUCACCACAAAAUAUUGAAAGAGCUCACCUGUGAGCUUUACAGUUUUUUAUCAAGAUGAAGUGAAAUAUUGUUGUGAAACGCUUUCGAGUUUACCUCGAUCCGGAAUCAGUUACGUUGAUUUGAUCGAGUAUGCCCGAAGUGCAACCAUCGGUGAGCUGCGUGGGUGCCGGAGCCACCGCCCUGGUGACCCUAGGCGGGGGUGGAGCCGAGGGGGGCGCUGGUGCCUUGGUGGACUUGGAGCCUGACCUGUCCACAUUCGAGAACAAGACAGGCCUCGCCGAGGACAUGAAGUUUCUGGCGUCGAUGCCUGAGCUGUGUGACGUCACUUUCCUCGUCGGCGACACGCGUGAGCCGGUCUGCGCCGUCAAGGCUGUGCUGGCCGCAAGAAGCAGGGUGUUCCAGAAGAUGCUUUACCAAGCUCCCAGUCCGUCACGAAAGAAAGAACCGCCACCCAAAGAAAACAAACUACGGCUAUUUCUGAAACGGAGCAGUGAACCGCUGCUAAAUCUCCAAAAUGCGGCCGCUCAGCCGAGCUCCAACCAGCAUUUCACACUGAUUGUGGAGGAGUUUGAGCCUGACGUGUUUCGCCAGCUGAUUGAGUACAUUCAUACAGGGUGUGUCACGCUACAACCCAGGACUCUGUUAGGUGUGAUGAACGCAGCCGACUAUUAUGGGCUGGACGCACUGAGGCAUGCGUGCGCCGGUUUCGUGCAGUGCUGCAUCAAUGUGGACACUGUGUGUGCCCUGCUUGCCUCGGCCGAACGCUACAUACAGUACAAGUGUACUAAGUCCCUAGUGCAAAAGGUAUUGGAAUUCGUAGAUGAGCAUGGUAACGAGGUGCUGAACCUGGGAUCGUUCACUCUGCUCCCUCAGCACGUGGUCAGGUUGAUUUUGGCCCGGGAGGAGUUGAGAGCUGACGAAUUCACCAAGUUCCAGGCGGCUCUAAUGUGGAGCAAGAAGUACUGCGACAGCAAUCAGAACACAGUCCUCAAAGACGUGAUUGGCAACUUUUUGGAGUACAUCCAGUUCCAUAAGAUACCUGCCAACGUGUUGAUGAAAGAAGUGCAUCCGCUCGGUCUGGUGCCCUACUCCAUCAUCAUGAACGCUCUCGCCUAUCAGACCCAACAAGUGUCGAGCCCAGCAAGCUCUCCCCAAACAGAGUGAGACGCUCGGCGCAGGGUCGCAGCAUGUCGGUGCAGUCCUCGCUUGACCCAUACGGCAGCAACACCACUCUGUCAUCGUCCGGCUCCAAUCAGAGCUCCGAAAUGGCAGUAAAGGCAGCUGUCACACGAAGCAAGAGUACCAACAUGUAGAAAAUCGAGAUUUUUUU
rnacentral:misc_RNA from 1 species